GGGUUGUGAGGUUAAGCGACUAAGCGUACACGGUGGAUGCCCUGGCAGUCAGAGGCGAUGAAGGACGUGCUAAUCUGCGAUAAGCGUCGGUAAGGUGAUAUGAACCGUUAUAACCGACGAUUUCCGAAUGGGGAAACCCAGUGUGUUUCGACACACUAUCAUUAACUGAAUCCAUAGGUUAAUGAGGCGAACCGGGGGAACUGAAACAUCUAAGUACCCCGAGGAAAAGAAAUCAACCGAGAUUCCCCCAGUAGCGGCGAGCGAACGGGGAG
rnacentral:rRNA from 1 species